rnacentral:rRNA from 1 species
AGUGAACGCUGGCGGUAGGCCUAACACAUGCAAGUCGAACGGCAGCACAGUAAGAGCUUGCUCUUACGGGUGGCGAGUGGCGGACGGGUGAGGAAUACAUCGGAAUCUACUUUUUCGUGGGGGAUAACGUAGGGAAACUUACGCUACUACCGCAUAUGACCUACGGGUGAAAGCAGUGGAUCUUCGGACCUUGCGCGACUGUAAGAGCCGGUGUCGGAUUAGCUAGUUGGCAAGGUAAAGGCUCACCAUGGCGACGAUCCGUAGCUGACCUGAGAGGGUGAUCGGCCACACGGGAAAUGAGAGACGGUCCAGACUCCUACGGGAGGCAGAAGUAGGGAAGCUUCCGCAAUGGGCGAAAGCCUGACGGAGCAACGCCGCGUGAGUGAUGAAGGUCUUCGGAUCGUAAAACUCUGUGAUUAGGGAAGAACAAAUGUGUAAGUAACUAUGCACGUCUUGACGGUACCUAAUCAGAAAGCCACGGCUAACUACGUG